rnacentral:misc_RNA from 1 species
CAGCGCAUUGCUUGGGAGUUCUGUCAGCCAGUGCAUAACGCUGGCACCCGUGCAGGUCUCAUCAGCCUUCCCGUUCUAACGCUCAUAACUGGCCCCGUGUCACUGCCAUCUAGUUCCGUGUGGCUACCUUCUACCAGUCCCCUGUACAGUAUCACCGUCCUUACGAUGGCGUCAUCUACUUGGUGCUGGUCGCUGGCCGUCCUGCUCUUCUACCUACAUUCCGCCAGCAGCACGUCGGUGCCGGUGACGAACCUCUGGGAUGAGCUGCAGAGUACCGUCGCUGAGGUGGUGCAGGCUCACUGCCCCAGCAAGCAGCAGGAAGCCAAUCAGGAGAAGCGCAUCAUCGAGGGCACGACGAAGGCGCUGAAAAGAUUGUUCGCCGAAACGUUCUCCGAGUCUGGCGGCAGACCUAACCUGGACCCGCUCUGGCGCUGCAGUUGCCCCUCUGGCUAUAUCCCGUGCGGCGGCCGCUGCUACGCCCGUCUCCACCGUCCCGUCGAGUACGCCCAGGCGGAGCGCGAGUGCUCCCUGCUGGGCGCCCACCUGGCCGUGCCGCGCUCCCGUCAGCAGAGUCUUUGCGUGGCCGGCCUGGCAGGCCACGAGGACGUCUGGCUGGGCAUCACCGACCGCGACGAGGAGGGUUUCUUCCAGGGCGCCGACGGCCGGCCGGUCACGGACAACGAGGGGCAGGUGUGGUCACCGACUCAGCCGGACAACGCCGGCGGUGUGGAACACUGCGUCUCGAGCUGGAAGGUGAAGGAUGGUGUGCGCUUCGGCGAGUGGAACGACUACCCGUGCACCGGUAUUCGGCUGUACCCCAUGUGUCAGCUGCCCUGAGGUACUUGACAUCCGGCCGUACCAAAAGUCUCGCUUGUGUCAGCGGUCAGCUACCUUGGGAUGCGCAGUACCUACCUACUCGAUGUUUCAGCUGUUAUGACUUAUGAGGUGUGUAUGCAGGGCUGCGGAGUUGAUGGAUUUGAGGGUGACUCCAACUCCGACUCCGACUCCGGCUUCAAAAAUCGACUGCGACUCCGACUCCAACUCCGACUCCAACUCCGGACGGUUCUAUUGAAAACCAUAUCAUGAUUAAAGUUCCUAAUGGAAAUGUUUUAUCUUGCCUGAAACGACCCCUAGUGCUUUCCAAGACUUUGCGUUGCAAAUAUGCAUUUAAAGUAACAUGCAGCAUUAAAAAGCAGGUUCCGGGGAGUUCACCGUCUUCUGCUCCUUUCGCUGAAAACGUUCGUCCAAAACAGCAAAAUGGUCUUUUUUCGACAACAUCUAAUUUCGAGUGCAGUCAAUCAAACAGGUGCAGUGCAUGACGUUGAGCAAUGUAGCGUUAACUCCGACUCCGACUCCGACUCCGGGCAGAAUUGUCGACUCCGACCGUCUCCAACUCCGACUCCGACUCCGACUCCACAGCCCUGGCUAUCAGCUAGGGUUGCACUAAUUGCUCAUAUUACAUAUGCCUGCUUUGUCAUAUUUUCCGAGAGAGUAUCAUCGAUUAAAACACUGAAAUAAGUUCAUAAAAUAAAGAUGUUUGCAGUAAAAGAUAUAAGGUGCAGAUUUGGUCAAAUUAGGUGCACUCGCCGGCUAGCCCGUCGUGAAAACGGCUAGUAUGGUGACUGUUGGUGACGUGUUGGCUAAGGACGCAUCAGCCUUGCGACCCGUGCCGUGCAUCAAAUUUAUCUUCCGUCUUGUUCUUUUUUUUUCGCGCUGCUGACUCGUAUGAAGCCAAUAGGCAUGUACUUUUGUAACUAAGCGGAACUAAUCAGGGUGGUCAGGGAAAGAUCAAUAAACUUACUACUCAGAA